GACGAACGCUGGCGGCGUGCUUAACACAUGCAAGUCGAACGGUAAGGCCCUUCGGGGUACACGAGUGGCGAACGGGUGAGUAACACGUGGGUGAUCUGCCCUGCACUUCGGGAUAAGCCUGGGAAACUGGGUCUAAUACCGGAUAGGACCACUGCCGGCAUGGGUGGUGGUGGAAAGCUUUUGCGGUGUGGGAUGGGCCCGCGGCCUAUCAGCUUGUUGGGGGGGUGAUGGCCUACCAAGGCGACGACGGGUAGCCGGCCUGGGAGGGUGACCGGCCACACUGGGACUGAGAUACGGCCCAGACUCCUACGGGAGGCAGCAGUGGGGAAUAUUGCACAAUGGGCGCAAGCCUGAUGCAGCGACGCCGCGUGAGGGAUGACGGCCUUCGGGUUGUAAACCUCUUUCAGCACCGACGAAGCGCAAGUGACGGUAGGUGCAGAAGAAGGACCGGCCAACUACGUGCCAGCAGCCGCCGUAA
rnacentral:rRNA from 1 species